rnacentral:rRNA from 1 species
UACGUAGGGACCAAGCGUUGUUCGGAUUUACUGGGCGUAAAGGGCGCGUAGGCGGCGCGGUAAGUCACUUGUGAAAUCUCUGAGCUUAACUCAGAACGGCCAAGUGAUACUGCAGUGCUAGAGUGUGGAAGGGGCAAUCGGAAUUCUUGGUGUAGCGGUGAAAUGCGCAGAGAUCGGGAAGAACAUCAGUGGCGAAGGCGGCCUGCUGGGCUGUUGCUGACGCUGAGGCGCGACAGCGUGGGGAGCAAACAGG